UCCAUGAGUCGUUUUGAUAGC
rnacentral:piRNA from 1 species